CCUGCAUAUCAAUAAGCGGAGGAAAAGAAACCAAACAGGGAACGCCUCAGUAGCGGCGAGUGAAGCGGCAAGAGCUCAGAUUUGAAAUCGUGCUUUGCGGCACGAGUUGUAGAUUGCAGGUUGGAGUCUGUGUGGAAGGCGGUGUCCAAGUCCCUUGGAACAGGGCGCCCAGGAGGGUGAGAGCCCCGUGGGAUGCCGGCGGAAGCAGUGAGGCCCUUCUGACGAGUCGAGUUGUUUGGGAAUGCAGCUCCAAGCGGGUGGUAAAUUCCAUCUAAGGCUAAAUACUGGCGAGAGACCGAUAGCGAACAAGUACUGUGAAGGAAAGAUGAAAAGCACUUUGAAAAGAGAGUGAAACAGCACGUGAAAUUGUUGAAAGGGAAGGGUAUUGCGCCCGACAUGGGGAUUGCGCACCGCUGCCUCUCGUGGGCGGCGCUCUGGGCUUUCCCUGGGCCAGCAUCGGUUCUUGCUGCAGGAGAAGGGGUUCUGGAACGUGGCUCUUCGGAGUGUUAUAGCCAGGGCCAGAUGCUGCGUGCGGGGACCGAGGACUGCGGCCGUGUAGGUCACGGAUGCUGCAAAAACGGAACAACACC
rnacentral:rRNA from 1 species